UACGGAGGGUGCAAGCGUUAUCCGGAUUCACUGGGUUUAAAGGGUGCGUAGGCGGGCAGGUAAGUCAGUGGUGAAAUCUCCGGGCUUAACCCGGAAACUGCCGUUGAUACUAUCUGUCUUGAAUAUCGUGGAGGUAAGCGGAAUAUGUCAUGUAGCGGUGAAGUGCUUAGAUAUGACAUAGAACACCCAUUGCGAAGGCAGCUUACUACACGAUCAUUGACGCUGAGGCACGAAAGCGUGGGGAGCAAACAGG
rnacentral:rRNA from 1 species